UGGGGAAUAUUGCACAAUGGGCGCAAGCCUGAUGCAGCCAUGCCGCGUGUGUGAAGAAGGCCUUCGGGUUGUAAAGCACUUUCAGCGAGGAGGAAGGUGGUGAGCUUAAUACGCUCAUCAAUUGACGUUACUCGCAGAAGAAGCACCGGCUAACUCCGUGCCAGCAGCCGCGGUAAUACGGAGGGUGCAAGCGUUAAUCGGAAUUACUGGGCGUAAAGCGCACGCAGGCGGUUUGUUAAGUCAGAUGUGAAAUCCCCGGGCUCAACCUGGGAACUGCAUUUGAAACUGGCAAGCUAGAGUCUCGUAGAGGGGGGUAGAAUUCCAGGUGUAGCGGUGAAAUGCGUAGAGAUCUGGAGGAAUACCGGUGGCGAAGGCGGCCCCCUGGACGAAGACUGACGCUCAGGUGCGAAAGCGUGGGCAGCAAACAGGAUUAGAUACCCUGGUAGUCCACGCUGUAAACGAUGUCGAUUUUGGAGGUUGUGCCCCUUGAGGCGUGGCUUCCGGAGCUAACGCGUUAAAUCGACCGCCUGGGGGAGUACGGCCGCAAGG
rnacentral:rRNA from 1 species